AUGAGAAGAAUUGAAGACUUUAGAGCUUGUCAUGAUAUUGCAAGUCUAGCAAAAAAGAUGGUUGAACUUGAAAGGCAUGUCAUGUUUCCUGCUGUUUAUCACCUCAUUGAGUUGGCACUGCUACUACCGGUAGUGACGGCAACAGUUGAAAGAGCCUUCUCAUCAAUGAAAAUCAUCAAGACUGAGUUGCGCAGCAAGAUGUGUGAUGGCUGGCUAAAUGACUUCAUGGUGUGUUACAUUGAGUGA
rnacentral:rRNA from 1 species